rnacentral:rRNA from 1 species
CAGUAGCGUAUAUUAAAGUUGUUGCAGUUAAAAAGCUCGUAGUUGGAUUUCUGGUAUGAGUCACUCGUCCCGCCGACGUUAGUCGUGUGAGUGUCGUGGUGUUACUUUACCAUCCGCUCAUCUCAUAGCUUGUACCAUUAAUUUGGCCGCAAGUUUAUGGUUGAGCCAUUUACUUUGAAAAAAUUAGAGUGUUUAAAGCAGGCAAUUGCUGUGAAUACAUUAGCAUGGAAUAAUAACAUAGGACUUUUGUUCUAUUUUGUUGGUUUCUAGAACGGAAGUAAUGAUUGAUAGGGACAGUUGGGGGUGCUAGUAUUUCAUGGCCAGAGGUGAAAUUCUUGGAUUCAUGAAAGACUAACUUAUGCGAAAGCAUUCACCAAGGAUGUCUUCUUUAA